AAGCGAGAGUCGAAGCGAUGGAGGAGUACAGUUUUAAAUGGUCCAAGGAGCAGACAGAAGCUUUUAUAAAGCUGAGGGAAAAAAAUGAGCACCUCUUCACGGGGUUUAAGAAUUCAGCCGCUGUGGGAUGGAGGACAAUUCUGGAGAAGAUGGGCCUGCAGGGUAAAGUCACCCCCCUGCAGGCCAAAAAGAAGUGGGACAACUU